rnacentral:tRNA from 1 species
CGCGACCGGGAAUCGAAACCGGGCCAUCUGCGUGACAGCCGAAAAUACUCACCACUUUAGCACGC